CUUCUAAUAUACCCGAAAUUUAAAAAGGUAGUUCUAAUUUUUGAUAUUUUUCAUUUAAAAAUUCCAAAGAAUUAGAAAAAUAGAACGGAGCGAUGUGAGAGGCGCCACCUAGACGCCCCUCGCUUCUCCUUUAUAUAAAUAUAUUGAUUGAUGAUUGAUUGAUGAUUAUAUUACUUCAAUAUCCAGAGAUGGUUUGAUGAUAAGAUUUCUGGAAUAAAAAAAUACACCAUCUAUGAAAUAUAUGUAUUCGGACAAAUAUAUUAUUCUAAUUUUAAUCUAAUAUGUCAAUUUAUUAAAUCAGUCGAUUUCAGAACCACAAACCUGACAAAAAAGAAAAGAAAAGAAUAAAAAAAAAAGAAGCAGCAUUGGGCAAGUUCAUUGGGGCUUCAAAUGAAGCGGCCCAAGCGCGAGGGAGAGCUAAAACUAUAAUACUGGGCGAGCCAAGUGGAUGUGGAUGGAACGAUGCUUCAAUACAUUUGGGCCUUUUGGAUUCUAGCUGGGUCUGGACUCUGGAUCAUAAAUAAAAUCCCACGCAUUAAACAAACCGCCUGGUUAUCUCAUCUCAUGUUAUUACAGGAAGAACACAAAUCCAAACACCCACAGCUCUGUCCUGUUCUGUCCCUUUGUGCAAGUCGCCUCUUGCCCUAGCUUUCUAAUCGCCUUCUGCUACUCCACAGUUGUGCUGCCAUAUAGGUCAAUUCAGCAAUGCAAGAUAAUAGAAUGCUUCCAGUUGAUGAAGGAACAGUUCCUAAGCCACGGGCAAAGAAACCCUCGACCAAAAAGUCCAAGAUUCAAGCAGAGGGGAAUGGUGCAAAAAUGGUUCAAGAGCAUGUCAAAACAGGUCAAAAGGCUAGCAAGAAAGGCUUGAUGAAUGAUCUCUCUUCAUUUCAGCAACCCGAGAGAUCAACAUCAGAUUCAUUACCAGAUUCAUCAUCAUCAGGAAAUGAGUAUCGAGUUCUGAGACGAAAAUAUUUACUGCUAGAGGAGGAGAGCUUUGGCUUGGAUAGUGAGUUGAGAGAAGCUGAAAAUGAGGUCACGGACCUUGAAAAGGAAAAGCUUGCUCUCCUGGAUAAGCUUGUUGUGUUAGAAGGCCUGGUUGAUCCUUCGGAAUUCCAGGGCUGAUAAAAGCCAGAUUGAGUAAUGAUAAUCAGGCCAGCUAUUAAGAUUUUACUUAUUAAAAUAAUUAUCAUAUAGAGUUCUUUUCCUAUAAUAGUGCACAACAGGCUUGCUAUAAUUUUUUAACUUGAAUGCUUAAAUGUAUUAUUGUUUGGUUAUAUCUUGCAAACUAAUUCUAGUCUGAAAUUUGUAUGAUUUUUGCAAUUCUUUCCCUGAAAAAUGAAAUUUGCUGAUUAUAGUUUUGCA